rnacentral:rRNA from 1 species
UACGUAGGGGGCGAGCGUUGUCCGGAUUUAUUGGGCGUAAAGAGCGUGUAGGCGGUUCGGUAAGUCUGUCGUGAAAUCCUGAGGCUCAACCUCGGACGUGCGAUGGAUACUGCCGGGCUAGAGGAUGGUAGAGGCGAGUGGAAUUCCCGGUGUAGCGGUGAAAUGCGCAGAUAUCGGGAGGAACACCAAUUGCGAAGGCAGCUCGCUGGGACGUUACUGACGCUGAGGAGCGAAAGCGUGGGGAGCGAACAGG